AUUUAUCUAGCAUUCUAUAAUAUGUUAACAUACUUAUUUUCACAUUCUUGCAUUAUGUCAACAUGCAUCAAUAUGAAAUCUCAUUUCUCUUAGACAUACAGGCGACCUAGUCGCUUCGGUAAGCACAACCCACCUCAUUUCGCAUUCCGAUUGCUUAUCGACACUUGCAAUCGGCCUCCCGCGGCACCCGGCACCCGGUUUGGCCCGAUCUCUCGCGCGACCACUUGAACGGCCUCCAAUCCACGAUCCGGAAAUUAAAGGUCUUCGGUUAUGCGCCACGGUGCUUCAAAUCUAUUUUCAUGAAUUUACGAUAUCACCUCGGCCCUCCAGGCGGAAACGAAGCCUAAACGUCUGUUUCUUUAAUAACUUCGCAACGGCUCGACAAAUCGCCGAACCUUCUUCGCCAACGCGUUCGUCUACCUAACAAUUAGGUUUACGAAGGGUCAAAUGAGAUCAAUCCCUCAUAUUUACAAAACUAGCAUUUUUGAGCCCUAAAUUACAACUAGGUAAAAAUCCAUUAUUUAGCUUUAUGAAUUAUGCAUUAACCAUCUAUUUAGCAUCCUAGGAUUUCUCUAAAUCCAUUCUUAGAGCAUAUAAUUAAGGCUCUAAAGAUCUACCAUGAGAGGGUUCAAAAAAACUCAUUUCAGUUUUAGCAGUUCGAAACAGUUGGAGCCCUUCUGAAUGUCCGUUUGAGCUCAAAUUUGACAGGCAGGCUCAGUUUAACGUACUGAGUAAGAAUAUAUCUUAAGUUUUCAGUUUCGACCCCAUUUGGUCACCGAAAAUUGUGCCGAGCUGUAAUCUUUAUCAGAUAGCUGUCAGAUUUUAUUUCUCACUCUACGUGUGUCAGAAAAAUAUGAAACUUUAAUUAUGUUCUCUCUUUCUAGCCUAUAUUCUCUCUCUUUUUUCUAAAAAGAUAUUGAAAUUUUUUAUAGUAUUAUUUAAAAUGAAUUAAAUUAAUUAAUUAAUUAAUUGUAUAUUUUUCGCAAUUUUAAAUAACAUGACUAAAUAAUAUGACCGUAAGAACCAAACACCGAAAUACUAUAUUCUUAGUAAUAGGAUGAAUAGGAAUAAGAUUCUCAGAUAUCUUUUUACUUCUAAAAAUCUUUCAUAGUGCGAACCAAACGCACCCUUAGGGUUAUUUACAACUAAUCUUUUUUAUCUUCUAAAUAAUAAAUAAGAAAGAAAAAAACUAAUUAACUAUUCUUCUACGAGUAAUGAAAGAGAUGAAGUGGGAAAGCCUAUCUUCUCUUCUUUUAUACUAGUGUAGAGACCCGCGUGAUGCAGCGGGUAGAUAAUAAAAAUAAAUUUUUAAUAUUUUAAUAAAAUUUAUAUUUACAGUUUAUAGGAAGCUAUAUCAUGUUAAACACAGUCAAUUUGCAUGACUAAAUUCAGUUGUUAAAAAAAUAAAAUAAUAGCUAGAAGCAUAUGAAAUACAUAAAUAAUAACUUAACGUAUCUGGCUUAAGAAAAUUUUGGUUGGCGUCUCAGACUCCAAUCUCUGCAUCAUACUUUUUAAUCUACGAAAGAAAUUUUGCCUACAACAGUGUCUACUCAAAAAAAUGAUCAUAAUAUGAAAAUAAAACAAAAAACAUCAAUCUU
rnacentral:lncRNA from 1 species